CACACAGUAAACGAUGAAUACUAGCUGUUUGCGAUAUAUUGUAAGCGGCCGAGCGAAAGCAUUAAGUAUUCCACCUGGGGAGUACGUCGGCAACGAUGAAACUCAAAGGAAUUGACGGGGGCCCGCACAAGCGGAGGAACAUGUGGUUUAAUUCGAUGAUACGCGAGGAACCUUACCCGGGCUUGAAAUGCAGAUGAUCGAAGUGGAGACACUUUUUCCAGUAAUGGCAUCUGUGUAGGUGC
rnacentral:rRNA from 2 species